rnacentral:rRNA from 1 species
AGAUUGAACGCUGGCGGCAUGCCUUACACAUGCAAGUCGAACGGCAGCACGGGAGCAAUCCUGGUGGCGAGUGGCGAACGGGUGAGCAAUACAUCGGAACGUGCCCAGUUGUGGGGGAUAGCCCGGCGAAAGCCGGAUUAAUACCGCAUACGACCUACGGGUGAAAGCGGGGGAUCGCAAGACCUCGCGCUAUUGGAGCGGCCGAUGUCGGAUUAGCUUGUUGGUAGGUAAAAGCCUACCAAGGCUACGAUCCGUAGCUGGUCUGAGAGGACGACCAGCCACACUGGGACUGAGACACGGCCCAGACUCCUACGGGAGGCAGCAGUGGGGAAUUUUGGACAAUGGGCGAAAGCCUGAUCCAGCCAUGCCGCGUGCGGGAAGAAGGCCUUCGGGUUGUAAACCGCUUUUGUCAGGAAGAAACGGUUCGAGCUAAGUAUCUCGGACUAAUGACGGUACCUGAAGAAUAAGCAACCGGCUAACUACGUGCCAGCAGCCGCGGUAAUCUA